rnacentral:rRNA from 1 species
GACGAACGCUGGCGGCGUGCUUAACACAUGCAAGUCGAACGGAAAGGCCCUGCUUUUGUGGGGUGCUCGAGUGGCGAACGGGUGAGUAACACGUGAGUAACCUGCCCUUGACUUUGGGAUAACUUCAGGAAACUGGGGCUAAUACCGGAUAGGAUCUCCUGCUGCAUGGUGGGGGUUGGAAAGUUUCGGCGGUUGGGGAUGGACUCGCGGCUUAUCCGCUUGUUGGUGGGGUAGUGGCGUACCAAGGCUUUGACGGGUAGCCGGCCUGAGAGGGGAACCGGCCACAAUAGGACUGAGGUAGGGCGCAGACGCCAACGGGACGCAGCAGGGGAAAGUAUUGCGGAGUAGGCGGGAGCGAGUGACAGAGGCGCCGCGUGCGGGAUAACGGGCUUCGGGUUAUAAACCGAUGUCGCAUGUGAUGAGGCGGGAGUGACGGUAAUGGGUAAGAAAGCAACGGCUAACUACGUG